CAGUAGCCGCGGUAAUACGUAGGUGGCAAGCGUUGUCCGGAAUUAUUGGGCGUAAAGGGCUCGCAGGCGGUUUCUUAAGUCUGAUGUGAAAGCCCCCGGCUCAACCGGGGAGGGUCAUUGGAAACUGGGAAACUUGAGUGCAGAAGAGGAGAGUGGAAUUCCACGUGUAGCGGUGGAAUGCGUAGAGAUGUGGAGGAACACCAGUGGCGAAGGCGACUCUCUGGUCUGUAUCUGACGCUGAGGGGCGAAAGCGUGGGGAGCGAACAGGAUUAGAUACCCCGGUAGUCCCUGUCUCUUAUAC
rnacentral:rRNA from 1 species